ACGUUAUCCCAACCGAAGAGGCCAAACGGGAGCUUUAACAGAAAAAUCUCAUCCCCUGCGGAUCAGAGCCUAAGUGGCUUGUUCAAGGUCAUCGCGGGGGUGUGUGGUGGAGCUGGGAAUUAAAUGCGUAUGUCUCAAGAGCCAGCCUUGUGCUUUUAUCACCAGGGAAACAGCAUAAGCCUCACUGGGGAGCAAGAAACAUUUCCUUGGCAGCUGGAGUUCUCGCUACCAGCUAUUUAUCUGCCUGGGUGAGUGCUGUGCUGAGCUCCUGCAACAAAACCCCCACGGCACCAACCCGCCCCGAUGUAAAUUCCCCAUUUAUCAGCCGAAGCUGGGGACGAGGGUCCCAGCGGAGGGGACAGAGCCGACGGCCGGGGAUCCCGGUGUGACAUGAGCCACCUUGCCAUCCAGCAGCACCCUGGGGAGAAGAGAGGGGUGAGGAGCUGCCGUGGUGCUUUCCAUCACGGUCCCCUCCGCCGCGGUCCCCCCGGCCGCCUGCGUGCCUGCGCCUGGUGAUGCUGCUGGCCCCGCUCUGCCCCCCUUGCCCGGCUGGAGUCAUCCAUCUUGCGCUGUGUAAGAGGCCUGUUGCAAUUAAGGAGGCUGAAGUGCUCCUGAACUCUUUAACCUUUGCCCUGGGAUUGCUCCUUUUGCCCCGGGGCUGCGGAUCAGCUCCAUUGCACUCUCCAAACAGCGCCUGCUACUUAGCUGACAUUUCUUUCUCCUGCUGGAUCCUAUUAGCACCCUGAGGUUGAAAAUGCUACUUUGGAGUGUUGUAAGGAAUGUGAUUUAUACUGGAAAGUAGCGGCAAUCUAUCUUUCCCUAUACACACACUACACGUGAGGCUGGAGAGCUAAAUCCACAUCGCCUGAACAAACAGCAACAGGGAUAAUUGUUGAGGAGGCUUCAGACACCUAGCAAGGAGAGGAGGCUCGGUGGGACGGCGCGAGCGGGGCAGGCACUGGGGCCAGCAGCUGGGCAGGAAUCCCCCUCCCCAUUGGGGUCCCGUCCCCACACCAGCGCAAACUGGUGCUGGACGCUGCUGGUUUCCAGGUAAUGCUGAAGACCCGCCCGGGCUGUUUGCAAGGGCUCUGUUUGUGGGGUCCAUCGUGUACUUCUUCACACUUCUCAUUGCCUUUCGGUUUUGUGUCAAGGGAAGAGCAGAGCUGAGCAGAGUUUGCACCGGUUUGCCUGCAUGUGAGUACAUAUCAUAGAUAACGCAAUAUGCACGGGAGGCAGAUGGAAAUAAGAAUUGAAUGGUGCCUGAAGGAGGGCUGAUUAGCCUUUAUCAGAUAUGACACACUAACCACUGAGGCUCCUUGCUGGAAUACCGGGUUAAAAUCUCUGCAGUGUCAAAUUUCAUUCUCCUAAGCAAAGAGACACUUUCCAUAGUGUUUGUGUGAAUCUUCUGGAUAAGCCCUGGAGACUGAAACUGUCUCAGAUUCAUGUGGGCAUUAAAAGUCCCACCCACAUGUUUAAAAAAAGCCCCAAACCCAGAAACGCAAAAGCUGACAUUUACUCUAAAAUGUCUUCUUCCUGCAUCGCUGCAUGGCAUCCCGUGUGAGCGGCGCUGCCUCCCUCCUCGCCGGAGCUUGGCUGCAUUUUAGCAGGGCCGCGGGCAUCCUCGUGGGCCUUCACACGAACGGCCCAGCUGAAAGCCAAGAGGUUAUUUUGCACACGCAAAAGUGUGCGCACAAACAUGCACGUGGACACGAGCACAGUAUUUUCUGGGAGAAAAACCAACUACAAAAAACCCCCAAGCCUAAGCAGCCUCUAUGUCAAAAGCCCUUUUAUAAAAGCCUCGGUAGCUGAAGAAUUGCCAUUGUUUCAGUCUCCAGUGAGUGCUAGUCUUAAAAUAUUUCCAGCUCAGAGCAGGCUUUGACAUUCUGCCCAGACCCAGGAGAGGGAACAAACAUGAGUUCAGAAAUGUUUCUACAAGGCACAGAUCCUUCUUUUUUUUUUGGAGAAUCACGUUCAGCAUCUCAUCUCAUGUGGCUAUGUCCCCAAAGUGGGGGAAAUGCCCCAAAGCACCCUGAAAAGCAGCGGGGUAGGGACUUCUCAGGGACUCCUGGUGAGGCAGGGAGAGCUGGCCUGGCUUCCAUGCCGAGGCACUGGGGUUUGCUUUUCAUGCUUUUAGUUAGUCUUUCUGUCGCGAGCAGCAAAACCAUUUUUUCCCCCCAGAAAUACUGCACUCCAGGCUGCUCCUCCUGCUUGAAUGCCAAUGACUGUGCAGACCUAACUCCCCACCCCACUGGAUGCCAGCAGAUGGUCCAAAAGUGCAGCUGUUUAGACACUGGAAAUCAAAGAAGACAGAGAGUAUGCGGUGGUAUUAAUCCCCCUUAGCCUUUUCUGUGUGUUCACCAGUGAUCCUGGGUGUGACAGAGUGCAAAUUCGGGAGGAGGCAGCUCUCAGUACUUCACUCCCUCCAUCAUCUUCUCCUGCGGGAAGGGCACGCGAGAGAUGGACCAGGACCCACGCACCCACCGCAGCACUUGUUCCACAAUGUGGUGGGAGCUGGGGCGGGAGGACCCCCGGACAAGGCUGUCCCCUGGACUUGACUUGGUGGGGAAUAGCUCAGCUAUUUGGCCAGCAUUCAUGGUUUCUCACCCUUUGCCUUUCCAUAAUGUAAAAAAAGGAGAGGAGCUGAGAUGCAAGUUACCGGCUCGGCUACAUUUCUGCAGGUCAAGGUGGUUCCUCACCUCCUUGCGAAAAACUUUUUGGCAGAGAAGUGCAGAAAACUGUCAGAGGUCUGCGGGCAAUCGGGAAUGAUCUGGCUGCCCUGGGGUCUGCGUGCAGUGCUGAUGGCCAGGGCUGCCUCGGGAGCUGCUGGGAGGCUGCGUGCUCUGGAGAGCAGGAGCUAACGUGUGCUUAUUUGGGCUGUGAGCUCUUCUCACGUUGGAUGGAGGGCUGUGUUUACCCAAGAACAAUGCGGGGUUAAAAUUUAGUAAGUCCUUGUGCAACCCUUUAUAGAGAAGCAAUGAGGACAAAUAAACAUCUCUUAAAAUACA